GAGAGAGAGAGAGAGAGAGAGAGAGAGACUCACUGUAAAUUGCCAGUAUUUUUUAUAUGCGCUUUAUUUAUAUUCUCUCCUCUCCAUGUUUGUAUUCGGACACUCAGUGUUAUAAGUAAUGUUUGUUAAUCACAGUUCUGUUCCAUGGAAUGCUUUGGGAAUUCUCUACAUGUUUACGGUCACGCCAGUGAAGCUUACUGAACUGAACUGAGCUCAAGACCAGCAGCUGGAACUCCUCCUUUCCUUCUCUGGAUAUCAGUUGAAAGUGAAAGUCAGCAGGUCGUUUCGGGGAAACACAUCGCAUAUCAGCCAGAGGAGGAUGUCCACUAGGAGAGUCAGGAGCAAAAUGACAGCGGAGGUGCGUGCACUGCUGAGCACCUGAGACUUCAGGGCAGUUGACAAUGCGGCCCUAAGAACAGUGAGGGCCAAACUGUCCCUGACUAUCAAAGAGGCAAAGUGCGCAUACGGCCAGAAAAUCCAUGGUCACUUCAUGCUUAGCGGUGACUCGUGGUGCAUGUGAAAGGGCAUUCAGGCCAUCAGCAACUAUUGGACAUCAC
ensembl:lncRNA